rnacentral:rRNA from 1 species
GGUGAACGCUGGCGGCGUGCCUAAGACAUGCAAGUCGAGCGGGCCGCGGGGUUUUACUCCGUGGUCAGCGGCGGACGGGUGAGUAACGCGUGGGUGACCUACCCGGAAGAGGGGGACAACCCGGGGAAACUCGGGCUAAUCCCCCAUGUGGACCCGCCCCUUGGGGUGUGUCCAAAGGGCUUUUCCCGCUUCCGGAUGGGCCCGCGUCCCAUCAGCUAGUUGGUGGGGUAAUGGCCCACCAAGGCGACGACGGGUAGCCGGCCUGAGAGGGUGGCCGGCCACAGGGGCACUGAGACACGGGCACCACUCCUACGGGAGGCAGCAGUUAGGAAUCUUCCGCAAUGGGCGCAAGCCUGACGGAGCGACGCCGCUUGGAGGAAGAAGCCCUUCGGGGUGUAAACUCCUGAACCCGGGACGAAACCCCCGACGAGGGGACUGACGGUACCGGGGUAAUAGCGCCGGCCAACUCCGUG